rnacentral:rRNA from 1 species
AUUGAACGCUGGCGGCAGGCUUAACACAUGCAAGUCGAGCGAGCGGCGGACGGGUGAGUAAUGUCUGGGAAACUGCCUGAUGGCGGGGGAUAACUACUGGAAACGGUAGCUCAUACCGCAUACCAUCAGAUGUGCCCAGAUGGGAUUAGCUAGUAGGUGGGGUAAUGGCUCACCUAGGCGACGAUCCCUAGCUGGUCUGAGAGGAUGACCGGCCAACCUGGAACGGAGACACGGUCCAGACUCCUACGGGGGGCAGCGGUGGGGAAUAUUGCACAUGGGGCGAAAGCCUGUGGCAGCCGGGCGGCGUGGGUGAAGAAGGCCUUCGGGUUGUAAAGCACUUUCAGCGAGGAGACGUUACUCGCAGAAGAAGCACCGGCUAACUCCGUGCCAGCGGCCGCGGUAAUU